AAGAUACAGAUAUGUUGUAGGACAGCUGCAUUUGAAGUGAACAUUUAACCUACAUAGCAGUCAAAACAAACAGACAUCUAUUAGCAUACAAAUGUGUGCAAAUGAUCUUUUCAGACCUUCUCAGAAAUUAAUCAAGUCCACGGAAUGGAUAUAGACAAAAAGAGAAUUCAAGGACUAGCAGAGGUAGAGAGGCGAGGCAGGGGGGAGGACAUCAUCCUGCUAUUUUGACAGUCCCUGAAGGACAAUACAGAAGAGGGAUUUGCUCUUAUUCCUUCCCUUUUCUAUUUCUGUAAUAAAAUUAGCAAGUGUAGUAAUAUCCUUGCUUUACUUUACUAGGACUGGAGACCACAGCAGCGAUUCUGCUCUUGCCCUACCUCUUCAAUGAGGACCCGAGUGGCCUUUAUGUCCGUGACAAGAUUUCACCGCUCUUCACUCCUUUACUGCACAUCGGCGGAAAUCCAUUUCACCACGAGAGUGAAAUCCCGCUGGCCUUUGAUGGGGAGAACAUUCACACCCUCGAGGACGUCCCCAUGGGGCUCUGCUAGGGCUGUAUUUUUUAUUUUCCAUAAAAUUUCCCAAAAAUGUCAGAAAAACACUUAUGUUGUUAAGUUACUGUGUUCUGGGGAGAAGGGAAGUUGGGGUGAAGUUACCAGGGCCGGUUAUAAAGAUGGCAAACUUCCUAACAUAACUAAGUGGAUACAAUAUACACACUAAAGCUGAAAAAUCUGUAUUUAGCAUCAAGUCUACAAUAUUGUUAGUUUACCUAUGAUUAAUUUUUAAUGUAUGUUGUUUUUAUUGUACAUCAUUAUUUAUAUAUAUAUUUUUAAAUGUCAUGAAAAUAACUAUACAAAGUAAAUGUAUUAUUUAUUGCAGAACAUGUCUGCAGAAAUGUUGCAAUUUUGUAAUGUGUGUUGUUUGGUAAAUUGUUUUGUAAAUAUUAAUUCACAUUUGUGGUGCCACUAAAAAAACAAUGAAUUAUUUAAAU